GGGGGUUUACUGAAGAUCCUUUUCAAGAGAAGAGGACUUGCUAAUGAACGUACCUUCUAGAGGUUUAACUUGAUCUGAACAAUGGUGCCAGGUGCCAAAUCUAACUGUAUUGUAUUCCUACCACCCAUUCCGAGAUGGUAGAACUGACAUGCCUAUGCCAGACAGACAAGAUUCUACAUUAUUACUCAAAUGAUAAACUCUCGUGACGUUUGAUUUUAUUUUUGCCGCUAUUUUGUUGCUGUCAUUCCUGAUAAGUAUGUCUCUAAGCUUGUCAGGUGGAGUUUGCUGUCAAUUGUAAUACGUGAAAUGCAUACCUUCGUAUGUACACAUUUUUUUCAUUUUCUAAAACGAACCUCAUAAAAAAGACAGAAACGUGACCUCAAAAGGCAGGAUACAGACUCAAAAUAUCGUACAGCAGCUUCAUCUUUUUAUUAGAUUUUCUGUGUUUUCUCCCCCCUCCUUGCUGGAUAAAAUCCAUACAAAUGAAAUACUGGCUCACUCAGUAAAUAAUAAUGAAAAGGUAAAUUCAUUUUACAGAGAAGCCAGUCCAUGUAAGACAUCAUCUUGAAUGACUGUGAUUUUCUUGAACUGAUCACCAGGCUAUUAUAGUCUCUCAAAAAUAAUAUCUGGCUUUUAGGCUCUCCAAUUGUGCCUGCGACCUCUCCUUAACCCUUUGGCUCUUAAGAAAAAUUGAUUUUUUUAAACCAUGUGCACAGCAUGCUGCUAAAACCACACAGGGGCCAUUUCGCUCACAUCCCAUUGGUGUUCUCUGUGACGGUGGGACCGGCUGAGGGUCUUCUUUCUGCCAUCAUCGCCCCCUCAGCUACACCCUGCAUAAUUUCACCCUCAACUGCGAGUCUCAAGUAUUGUGUCUUCAAUAGUUACGGUGCCAUCAUUAUAAUCACUUCUUUAAAAGAGAAAAAGAAAGAUCUUUGGGGCUGACGUCUUUUCUUUUUAAGGUUAUCUUGUAGCAAAUUAUGUGUCUACAGUUACGUUAGAUUCCACUUGAUGGGUUUUGGAACAGUCCAAAUGAGGAUGUAUGAUAAUUCUGUUCCUUCCUCCGCAGUCCCUCGGACUGAGGGAGUUCCCAUUGUGGCUCAGCAGGUUAAGAACCUGACUAGUGUCUGUGAGGGUGCGGUUUAAUCCCUGGCCUUGCCACAGGCUGUGGCACAGGUUGCAGGUGAAGCUUGGAUCUGGCAUUGCUGUGGCUGUGGUAUAGGCUGGCAGCUGCAGCUCUGAUUCAACCCCUAGCCCGGAAACUUCCAUAUGCCACAGGUGCAGCCCCUAAAAAAAAAAGCAAAAAUAAAAUAAAUAAAUAAGUAAUAAAAUCCCUAGAGUUCAGAAAUGCCAUGCAAAGAACUGGAUGGUCACUGAGUAGCUGAGAAGAUACAAGGUAUGCCAGCGAAGUCCUUGAAAGAGGUUGUCCUCAACUCAAGAUGAGACUUGGACACGAUUGGAAGCUUUAUUGAGCUUUCUUGAAAACCUUGAAAAUGGAAUCACAUUGAAACCUUUUAUGUGUUUGUCUCCAAUAUCAGGCGGAGCAGCAGCCUGAGGAAAAGGCCUGGAACCUCUAAGAGCUGCGUCCAGGUUGAAGCAGCCUUGAACUUGAGCAGUUCUGCUGACUUUCUACACCGGGGAAGGUCAGCCUGGGGCCAAGGAUUAAUCCUCCUCAGGUGCUCUGGCCGAGGCGUGAGCUGGAAGCAGGUACAACGAAGGCCAGGUUUGCGCUCAAGGAGAAGAGAGACACUUUGAAGUGCCUGCUCUGGGCAGCGAAGCAAAUUUAUGUCAUGUCGUUCCUACUGGCUGCUGGACACUGUACACAGGCCAGUUCGUAAAGGUGCCAAAUUCACCCUCACGUGGUUGAAUUCAGCUGCUGAGAUGGUGUAUUGUGUUGUUUUGUUUUUUAGGGCCACACCCGCGGCAUAUGGAAGUUCCCAGGCUAGGGGUUGAAUUGGAGCUGCACCUGCCAACCAGCACCACAGCCACAACAACACGGGACCUGAGCCUUACCUGCGACCUACACCACAGCUCACAGCAGCACUGGAUCGUUAACCUGUUGACGGAGACCAGGGAUCGCUCAUCCUCGUGCAUACUAGUCUGCUUUGUUGCUGCUGAGCCACGGUGGGGACUCUUGGAGGCUGGAUUUUCAUGUCCGUGCACCAAGCAGUCAUUGAAUGCACGUUGACUCUGGGAAGAGGUAAGACUUUGGUUGAGGUGGUUGCAUUCAGCUAGUUUAAGGGUGAUUCCCACAGGCUGAGAGCUGAAGGUUGUUGGAGUUGGAGGCAUAAACGCUUCAGUUCCUAAGCUGAGAUUUAGGUAGCAUAACACAGACUCUUACCAAGGGACUUAAUUUUUGAGGGGCCAGUGGAAUGUACUGACGUCCUUCUGGUUUGGGGGAUAGAGGUCAGUGUGGAACUAUCAAAGCAAGCUGUGGCCACCCUGGGAUCUGGGGAGCAGGGACUAUCCGCAUCUCUAAACUAAGCUUUAAACCAAGUCAGAUGAAAAUGGAUGCGCUCCAGUCUCUUUCUGUGGCCUUCGAAGUCUGAGACAAGCAUAUGCUGAGAUUCCCAUACCCUGGUAAAGGGUAAGUCCUCCGUGUAAGUCUAGUGUUACGUGGUGCCACGGAAAUGAUGACAGCAGUGGUAACAGCUAUGACGGGCACAGCUUGAAUGCUGCGAUGUGCCAGCACUCCUCUAGGUGCUCUGGUUCCUAUCUUCUAUUUAAUCCUUGCAAUAACCCCAUAAGGUAGGCUGUUUGGGCUGUUUUUAUUGUUUUUUGGCUGCACCUGCGGUAUGUGGAUGUUCCAGGGCCAGAGACCGAACCUGAGCCAUAGCAGCAACCUGAGCCGCAGUAGUGACAAUGCCGAAAUCUUAACCCACUGAGCCAACAGGGAGUUCCAGGUAGGCCAUUUUAUUAUGCUCACUUUAAGGAUGAGAAAGAUGGGGCCCAGAGAGUUUAAAUAAGUAUCAGUGCUGGGUUGCAAACUCAGGCAGGAGGAGCAGCUGUGAAAGGGUCAGAACCAAAGUGAGGUGGGCUUCAAAAGCAAUGGUCCCUGAUGCUUUGAGAGCUGGUCACAUGAGGUUUCCUGAGUGAUGGCUGUAGCACGACCGGCCGUCUUCUCUUGAAAGAAGUGAGUAAGCUUUGUCUGCCCUGUCUGCAGCUGCAUCUCCUGGGUGUGGCCCAUGAAGGGCGUGGCCCCCUGGGAAGCAUGGUCCAUUUGAGGUGUUCAAAAAAGAUGUAUUCAAUGAUGGAUGGAAUGAAUGUACUGGAAGUAUUAUUGUUUUUUUAGUGUUAAACAGAGUUAAAAUCCCGGACGGUUUCCUUACUCUCGCUAUGCCUCAGUUUUUCAUCUAUAGAAAGGACAUGAUGUCUCAGGGGUUUGGAAAUAAUCUUUGAUUUAGCAAAGAGUUUUUUUUUUUCUGAUUUUGCAUUGUAUUAAAGUAUGGCUGAUUUACAAGGCUGUGCUAAUUUCUAUUGUACAGCAAAGUGACUCAGUUAUACACAUAUAUAUUCUUUUUUAAAAAAUAUUCUUUUGCUUUAUGCUUUAUCCCAGGAGACUGGCUAUAGUUUGCAUCUACUAACCCCCAACUCCCAGUCCAUCUCUCUCCCCGCCACCUCUUGACAACCACAGGUGUGUUCUCUAGAUCUAGCAUAGACUGCUGCGUGGCAUACAUGCUCAGCAGGUGGGGGCAAUUAUUAUUAACGAUUUUGCUUUACAUGCUGGAAGGUGGUGUUUGAUUUAAAAACUGGGAAGAACUGCCUCACCCUUGCAGCUUUGGAAGCCUUGACUGCCUUCUCCCUAGUGCUCCCCUUUACAACCAAGUAGGGGAUCCUAGAUUUUCGCGUUUCUGAGGGGCCAAGUUUUUAAACAAAGUGCUUUGUACGGAAGUGACAAUGGCGUUUCUGCCUUCCAGCCUGCUCCGCCCAGCCCCCUUCCCAUGGUCUCAAGGCACGUCUUGUUUUUAUGACCUUUGCAUUAGCAGAUCUACCUCAAGGAGCUUCCCCUGACCCAGGAAAUGGAGGCUGACUAAAAGUGGAGGAGGAGAGAGGGCAAGGAGACAUAAAAGGGAUUUUAUGUUCUUUUUUUAGAGUCGUUAAAGUAGUGUAAAAGAAAAAAAAAAAUCCUUCAAUGCCACACAAAGUAGUGCUUAGGUGGGACCCAGAGAACGUUUUCCAUGGACAGAUGGGGAAAGCGAGGUUCUGUGCUUUUUGGGGGAUCCUUUAACCCAGCGCCCUGGGCAGGGACCGAACUCAUGCCUCUGCAGUGACCCAAGCUUCUACAGUCAGACUUCCACCUGCCACAGCAGGGACUCCGAGGUUAUGGUUUUUUAAAAAACAUGCCUAUUUAUUGAUUUUAUUACUUUUUAAAUUAUUAAAGUAUCAUUGAUUUACAAUGUUGCGUCAAUUUCUGACAUACAGCAAUGUGCUUUUAACUGAGUUAUUCCUGGGUGGAGUUACCAUGAGGGGCUCUAGCAGGCAGAGCUUGGCUGGAUAUGGAGAAACCGUUUUAGUUAUUUUAAGCAGAAGGAAGUUUAACGCAGGGAAUACCUGCUUAUAAAAUCAUGGAAAGGAUGGGAGGGGCAGGCACCAGCUGGCCCUCUGGGAACCUACUACCGAAAGGACAACCCCAGCUGGCCUGGCAAAGGAACUGUGGCUUCGGCACCAUGGGGAAGCUGGGGACUCGGGAGGCUACGAGGUCAUUACUGGUUCUGGGAUCCCGUUGCCUUAGCUGCGAGUCUUGGGUCAGGGCACCACAGCCCCCUCUGUGGGUUCAGAAACACACCACCUGGGUCAGAAUCCAGGGGUCAGGAAGUUGGGUCCAUCAUCGCUGGCUCUGGGACCAUGAUCUUCUGCUAACUCGCCACCAGCCAGAUGAGUAUCUCCCUCCCUAACUGACACAGGUUUGUUUGUUUGUUUUUGCCAUCCUGAGGCAUACGGAGAUCCCAGGUCAGGGAUCGGAUCCAAGCCGCAGCCCCAAAGUAAACCACCAGGAUCCUAGCCUGCUGUGCGGGGUCAGGCAUUGAACCCAAGUCGCAGGGCUCCCAAGACGCUGCUGAUCCUGUUGCACCACAGCAGGAGCGUCUGGACACAGGCUUGAAUUCAGGUCUUCCCCAAUUGCGUCUUCAAAUGAGUCAGGGAUGGAGUUUUCAUCCUUCCAGCUUCUGCAGGGCAGGAAGGCCGGGUGGUAGCCAGAGGUUGGAGGGAAUGC
rnacentral:lncRNA from 1 species